rnacentral:rRNA from 1 species
UACGAAGGGGGCUAGCGUUGUUCGGAAUCACUGGGCGUAAAGGGCGCGUAGGCGGCCGAUCAAGUCGGGGGUGAAAGCCUGUGGCUCAACCACAGAAUUGCCUUCGAUACUGUUUGGCUUGAGACCGGAAGAGGUAAGUGGAACUGCGAGUGUAGAGGUGAAAUUCGUAGAUAUUCGCAAGAACACCAGUGGCGAAGGCGGCUUACUGGUCCGGUACUGACGCUGAGGCGCGAAAGCGUGGGGAGCAAACAGG